AAAAGGGUUUCAGUCGAAUGCUGCAAAGUGACAUGAAUGUUCACAAAAAUCAUGGAUGAUAUAAUCUGGCCAGACAAACCAAUCAACUUAACAAGCGCAAAACAGAGAAGCAAUCAUAUGGCUUGCUUGUUCAGCUCCUCAACUUUA